rnacentral:tRNA from 1 species
GCUCUCAUAGCUCAGCUGGAUAGAGCGGCUCCCUCCUAAGGAGCAGGUCAUGCGUUCGAAUCGCAUUGAGAGCGCCA